CGGAUCGGCUCGCGUGCCAUUAGGUAGACGGCGGGUAACGGCCCACCGUUGCCGACGAUGGCUAGGGGUUCUGAGAGGAAGGUCCCCCACAUUGGAACUGAGACACGGUCCAGACUCCUACGGAGGCAGCAGUGAGGAAUAUUGGACAAUGGCCGGAAGGCUGAUCCAGCCAUGCCGCGUGCGGGAGGACGGCCCUAUGGGUUGUAAACCGCUUUUGCGGGGGAGCAAUAAUCACUACGUGUAGUGAGAUGAGAGUACCCUGCGAAUAAGCAUCGGCUAACUCCGUGCC
rnacentral:rRNA from 1 species